rnacentral:tRNA from 1 species
CCCUUGGUAGUCUAGUUGGUUAUGGCGUUCGGCUGUAAUUGUAAAGAUGAUUGUUACCGAAAAGUCACCGGUUCGAUUCCGGUCCGAGGGA